rnacentral:rRNA from 1 species
CGUGAGCAAUCUGCCCCUGACUCUGGGAUAAGCGCUGGAAACGGCGUUUAAUACUGGAUAUGAGCUGCGAUCGCAUGGUCAGUAGCUGGAAAGAUUUUUUGGUCAGGGAUGAGCUCGCGGCCUAUCAGCUUGUUGGUGAGGUAAUGGCUCACCAAGGCGUCGACGGGUAGCCGGCCUGAGAGGGUGACCGGCCACACUGGGACUGAGACACGGCCCAGACUCCUACGGGAGGCAGCAGUGGGGAAUAUUGCACAAUGGGCGCAAGCCUGAUGCAGCAACGCCGCGUGAGGGAUGACGGCCUUCGGGUUGUAAACCUCUUUUAGCAGGGAAGAAGCGAAAGUGACGGUACCUGCAGAAAAAGCGCCGGCUAACUACGUGCCAGCAGCCGCGGUAAUACGUAGGGCGCAAGCGUUAUCCGGAAUUAUUGGGCGUAAAGAGCUCGUAGGCGGUUUGUCGCGUCUGCUGUGAAAUCCCGAGGCUCAACCUCGGGUCUGCAGUGGGUACGGGCAGACUAGAGUGCGGUAGGGGAGAUUGGAAUUCCUGGUGUAGCGGUGGAAUGCGCAGAUAUCAGGAGGAACACCGAUGGCGAAGGCAGAUCUCUGGGCCGUAACUGACGCUGAGGAGCGAAAGGGUGGGGAGCAAACAGGCUUAGAUACCCUGGUAGUCCACCCCGUAAACGUUGGGAACUAGUUGUGGGGUCCAUUCCACGGAUUCCGUGACGUAGCUAACCCAUUAA